rnacentral:rRNA from 1 species
UGGUGCUUGCACUGAUUAUUUUAGUGGCAAACGGGUGAGUAACGCGUGGGAAUCUACCCAUUUCUACGGAAUAACACAGAGAAAUUUGUGCUAAUACCGUAUACGUCCCUUUUGGGAGAAAGAUUUAUCGGAGAUGGAUGAGCCCGCGUUGGAUUAGCUAGUUGGUGAGGUAACGGCUCACCAAGGCGACGAUCCAUAGCUGGUCUGAGAGGAUGAUCAGCCACACUGGGACUGAGACACGGCCCAG